CUAAGGAAUAGGAUAAUCAGUAUCUAGGGGUGGGGGUUAGUUAACAUGUGUAUAAUUUAAACUAUAAAAAUCACGAAUCGACUCUGUAUGCUUUGGACAUCAGAUUUGGGUGUAUUAUUACCCCGGUGUCCCGCGCGCUGGAAUAAAGAACCGCAUAUGAUCGCCUCUGUGUGGUUAUAUGUUUUCCUACGCUAACAUUUUUGGCGACCCAGAUGGGACCUUGUGGGCGCAGCCAGGACCCCGCGACCCGAUCACGCUCCAGCCGGCACCGGGUGAUUUCUCGGGGAGCCCAUCGGAGCCGCGACCCUCGCCGCUCACAACGACCCCUAGUGAGAGCUCGGCUCCGAAGUGUUCUCGUGUGGAACAGACCACUGGCCCUGGAGAAUCCAGUCCACAAUAUCGAACCAGGAGAUGAAGUAUACAUCAAAACCUGGAACGAAGAACCACUAAAAGAGAAGUAGACUGGUCCCCAUCAGUUUACAGAAUCCUGAAGAGAGAGAUACAGAAAAAGGCAUCUUGGAACAAGACCAUAAUGAAAGCAUUGGCACGGAACCCAGCACCUUCAAUCCGCAACAACAUCCCGAACAAAGCCUAUGACAACAGAGGAUUUGAAGAUGAACAUCCAGUAUGAACUCUGAAGCCUAAUAGACUGUAUUAAGUGAAAGCAUUUACACUUAGUAUAUUAGAGUGAAAAUACUUUCAAAGGGGGGAAUGUUGGUGGAGGGUUAAAAAAUAUAAUUUCUAGAUUGAGUAAUAUGUAAGGGGAGGAAAGUAGAGAACGUACAACUGGAACUUGACGCAGCUAGCUGGGAACAAGCGUCAGUUUCUGUAAACAGCUCCAUGCUAUUGUUUUAACCAAAUCAAGUGUGGAUCAGGGUAGAAGCGUAGGUAUGAUUUAAGAUAAUAACUAAGGAAUAGGAUAAUCAGUAUCUAGGGGUGGGGGUUAGUUAACAUGUGUAUAAUUUAAACUAUAAAAAUCACGAAUCGACUCUGUAUGCUUUGGACAUCAGAUUUGGGUGUAUUAUUACCCCGGUGUCCCGCGCGCUGGAAUAAAGAACCGCAUAUGAUCGCC